rnacentral:tRNA from 1 species
GCGCUGAUGGUCUAAUGGUUACAAUCUUUUAGGAAAAGCUUGACCAAAACUUGUGGGUUUCCUCACUACGUUCGUCAAGCCCACUAAAAAAAGAUUGCUGUAAAUGACUGUGGCCUUCCAAGCCGCGUAUCUGGGUUCGAAUCCCAGUCAGCGCA